UUAGUCGAUCGACCCGGUUAACAGUUAACCUAGUCGCGCAUGGCCAUGCUUCCCGAAUCAUAUCACUCGAGAGGGCCCAGAGAAUAUCUCUCCAGUCGGAGGGGCAAAAUCCCAUCUUGGUUAUCCACAUCACACAGCUUGAUUCUCAGUCAACCCGAACUCUGCCUUUAUAACUGCCCUGUUACGGAACAACGUUUGACAGAAUCUAAGUUGGUGAUCCACAACUCGGAUUGUGCAAUAACCUCAGGUCUAAGGAUUACAUUAAUUGAGACAUGCAAAUGACGACCUACUCGUUGCAUCUCAAUAUGGGUCAGUCCGACUCGCUAAACUCUUUAGCCGAGUCGGUGUAAGCUGGAAUGACAUCACCAUGCCCAUGACAAGUGGAACCGAGUCAUCAGCCAACUUUCACAUUAGCCUAAGUUAUGUGUCCAGCACAACCUCAAUGACUAAGGACAAUUUAGCAUGAACAACAUGAAUACAUAGUUCCACAAUCAAAUCACAUAUUCAAUGAUACAUAUCAGAUGUUCAAACAAGGACAACUUAAUAAUAUUUAUGAAUACAUUGGGAAUUACAUCAUACAUGAUUGCCUCUAGGGCAUAUUCCCAACAAGGCGAGCAGCGGAGCCAGGGGCUGGGCUGCACGGCAGGGGAGGCAAGCGGCAUCAGCCAUGGCGCUGCAGAGGGAAGCACGGGCUGGGCAGCCACGUGAGGAAGAAGAAAGGAAGGAGAGAAGAAAAGAGAAAAGAAAAAAGAGAGAGAUGGGCCGUUGGAUGAGAGAUGGAUGGACAAGAUUAGAACUUACCCCUUCGGGGCACUUAAGUGGAAAUGGGUUUCAGCGGAAUACGCUUUCAUGAAGGGAAAGCGGUAGUUCCCGAAAAUAGAAAAGAAUAAAAAAAAAGCAUAUUAAAUAUUUUUCUGUGUGUAUAAAUCGCCAAAAAUUCAAAUAAAUCAAAUAAAAUACCAAACGGAUUCAAAAAAUUCCUGAAAUUCCUGAAAAUUAAUUAACUGUUUAGAACGCAAGAAAAUAAUUUCUCAUGGAAUAAAAUAUGUCAAUAGGUUUUAUAGCACAUGAACCUGAAAUCAAGUCCAAAUAAAUCUAGAAAAAUAUGUCAAAGAUCCAAUAAAUUUCCAAACGGGAUUCUAACACCAAAUGAAGCUUAUGCGUACCAAAUUAUAUGUUCUCCAGCUUUAUAAUCUGGAAAGUCACGUUAUUCCUUCUCAUUAACAAAUAGGCAUGUGUUGGAAAAUCAUAUAAUUGAUUUUAACGCCAAACCAAGAACAUGCAGAGUUUUGAAAAUGUUUUCUCAACUCUAGGAUUAGGAAAGUCAUGUUAUUUCCCACUCUUGAAUAAAUGUCGGAAAAUCAUCUCCACGUGAGGUUGUCAUGUUACCCUCUUCUCUUUAUUUGAUCAUCUCAUUUGGAAAUUAAAAGAGUAUACCAACAUAAGAAUCAACCAAUACAUAAGUGAAAUAUUAAAUAUGUUUUCCAACUAUAUACUUGGGAAAGUCAUAUUGUUCCCUCUCUUUAACACUGAAUAAAUGUUGGGAAACAUUUCAAAUUGAUUCAAUAAUUCCAACGAUGCUCUCAAAUGGUCAUGGCAUUCAAAUUGAAAAUUUGGGAUACCAUAAAUCCUUUAUAGGAUCCCCAAAAAAGAAUAAGACUCAUUUAGGUUCUUGAAAUCCCAUACAAUAACAUAAGAUGCAAAAAUGGAUCCAAAUUAAACACUUUUGAAUUUGUAAAAAUCUUUCAACC
rnacentral:lncRNA from 1 species